CUAUAACUUCAUCUUCAUUUUCAUGUACAAAACUACAGAUCAUGUUGGGUCUAUAGGAGAAGUCAUUUUCCUUCAUUUGUAGCCAUUCUACUCCACCUAUAUUUUCUUCUCCUUCUUUUCUGUCAGAAGAGUUCUUGUCAUGCUGAGCUCUUCUUCAUUGUAUGGCAUUUAUAUUUUAGUAGUGUUUUAUCAUUGCCUUCUGCAUCCACAUGUUCAACAUUUUCUUCAAAUAUAACACAGGUGCCAAGAGUAUCUCAUAUUCC